CUCAAGCAGAGUCAGAAAAACGAAAGGCCAUUGAGGAGAACCUGGAGCAACUGAGAAAGCACAGAAGAUCCAUCAAGGAGGUAGCCGAACAUCUGCUCAGGGAUGCUGAUAAGUUGGCAGACCAGGCUGAAGCCAAGCAAGCAGGCAGCAAGAUGGCGGAGCUAAUAGCAAAAUCGAAUGCCUUUAGAAGGAGCCACAAGGAAAAGAUGGCUGAACUCAUUAAACUGGACGAACAGAUUGCUGCCAAAAGAGCUGAGCUCCAAAAGCUGUAGGAUCUAUUGAAAUGCACACAGGCACACCCACAGACGAAUGCAGGCACACGCACACACAAACACACACACACGUACACCCCUCACAGUUAUUGUUUUAAAUGGUUCUUAAAUUAAUGACUUAAAUACAGUGUAGACAGGCUGUAGGUUACUUUGGGAAAAAACAUCCAUACAAAGGCGCACCCACAGACGUGUGCAUGUGCAUACAUGCACUCCUCACACAGUUAUUGUGUUUAAAUAUGGUGAAUGUUAUGUUGAAGCAGAUCUUUGAAAGCUGUUGUCCUCAGAGCAUAUUGUUCAUUAAAGUUAUUUAUUUGAU